rnacentral:rRNA from 1 species
CCCAGGUCUACAUUAAAAGUCCAGAUAGUAUUCUGUUUAAAAAGCCUAGACUGCUCUCAGAAGCUAAGCAGGUUUGAGCCUGGUUAGUACUUGGAUGGGAGACCACCUAGGAAAGCCGGGUGCUGGAG